GCAGGCUGAGUGGAGAGCGCUGGCCCUGUUGCCCCCUCCCAUCUCGUGUAGCGAUGGGACCCUCGCUCCUUUUUUGUCACUCAGGUGCAGGAAAGAGUCACACGGAGGGAUAGAAUCACACCUUUUUUUUUUUUUUUUCUUCUUAUGCAUAUUUUCAUUUUUUUCAUACACAAUCCCAGUGGCAAUGGAGAAGAGCAGUAAGAAGAAUCCUUCUGAAGGAUGGAGAGGUUGAGGCAGUCCCAGUCCCCUCUGUGCUUUUGCAGUUUAUUUUUGUUUGCCAGAAAGUGAAGGUGCUCCCUGAGCUUGGUGGCAACGUAGCCAGGGAGGCCAAACAGCAAACCUCAGUGCAGAGGGAUCCACUUGAGCUACCAACUCUGAGUCAUGCAGCUGCUAUUAAUACACCUCGCCCGCUGGCUGCCUGAUAAAGAAAGGUUGGGGGAAGGACUAAGAGGAAUUUUCAAUUAAAGCUGCUUCAAAAAGAGUAAUAAGAACAUUUUAGGAUGAAUCGGAGGUGGGCAGAAGGGGAGGAAGAGCAGAGCAGCCUGGCAAACAACAAGGAAUAAUCUCCCAGUGAAUCUGUGGGAGCUGCACUGACUAAACUUUUUUUAAUUUGUUUGGACAAAAUUUAAAGAACAUUCUGAUAAACUAGAUGACUACAUAAUACAAACUAUGAUGAACUAUAUAAGCUUGAGUUUAACUGCUGCUUCUAGAGGGAUUUAAUGCGUUUAAUCUGUGAUGAUUUUAUGCAUUUUUAUUGUGUAUUUCAAACAGGCAUUUCUCUUGAAGUCAUCACCACAGAACCUGAACAUCUCCGUCUAUUAAAGGCAUAGCCAGAGAGGAAUGUACCAAGGCGCUUCAUCUGCAGAACGGGACUCAUCUCAAGGCUCUGUCAUCAGCACACCUACAAAGAUGCAAUUUCGAGUCUGGGAAGUAAUUUAGCCUUAAGAGGGCACGUGCUCUUGCAGCAGUUAUGUUGCAAUUGAACCUUGUCAGAACAAAUCACUCUCCAUUAAAGUUCAGCAAAGAGAAAUGUAAGGCAGGAAAGGCAGAAAGGCAAGAUAAUUCUAGGAUGCUAAGAACUUCAGUGUGCUACUUCUCCAAGAGUAUUUUUCCAGGCUGCUCCUUUUCCAUUUCACUGUGUAUGGGGAAGGUCUGAAAUAUUUAAGAGUAUUUAUUUGCCUUCAGAAAAAAUACUAAAAGACACAGUCUUUGGCUAUCCUUAAGGAUACCUCAAAGGCAGUUGAAGAACCAGCUGGACUAGAAUAUUACAAGAGUACCAAAGCAAUGAAAUAGAAUUAAAUUGAAAUGGGAAAUUAGUUUGACUUAGUCCCCUUAAAGGUCUGAAUUCCUAUUAUACGUCGUUCAUGAAGUUCAGUGGUGAAGAGAGAUUGAAAGGAUGGCAAGUAAGGACAGAUUUGAUAUUUCAGAUUCUGCUGAAGUUGAAAUAACAAAAUAGAUGAGACGAAGCAUUCCUCCUGCUAAGACCUCUGGAUUGGUAAUAUUUUGUUUCUGAAGUUCAUGAAAAUGGAGGUUUGGUAGCUUGAAGAUCUGCCCUUUCUUGCUUCUUUACAUCAUUUCCUAUCAUUAAGGCACCGGUCUUACAGAUGAAAGCUGUCACGUGCAACAAACAUCACUCCUGAAAUCCCAACUGCAGGUAAGUCAGUGAGACCAGGAUGUUACAAUGGAACUUUAUUAGACUUUUGCUCUUAAGAAGGUUACUAAAAGAAGUCUCAUGCUUCAUCAUAUCGAGCAUAAAGACCGGAGUCAGAUAUUCGGUUACUUGUCUUUGCAUCAUGACGGGUAGCCCAGCUCUCUGCUGGUGUGAUGCAGCAGGACUCUGCUAACUUCACGGCUGUGCCAGGUUAGAACAAAGAAUUUGUCCUGUUUUAAGACUUGGGAGCUGCUUGAUCCUGUUAUCCUUGCUUCUACACAGAAAACAGAAGUGUAUAAAAAAGUAAUAGGGCAGAGUGCUACCUCAGCAGUUUGGAACGACAGUGGUACUGCUAUGGGUUACUGACUCCAACCUUGUGCCAGCAGCUUGGCUAAGAGCCCUCGGAGCAGUGCAAGAGAAACCUACUAUAUGAUAUAUAUACACGCCAGCAAAGCGCUCUGCCUUGAAACAAAAGCCGACGGGCAAAGCCAGUGCAAUACACUGGAAGCAUUGUUUUAUUGCUGCCUUACUGCUGAGAUUGCUGAGCGGUCACGAAAAUGCGCGGCGCUGCUGCUGCUGCUGCUCUGUUCCAGCAGGACGUGGCCUGCUGCGGGAGAUGGCUGCACGCCGUGCCUGUUCGCUGCGCAGCAGCAGCUUGUGUAAAUGCUGAAGAACUGGAAAUGUCAGACGGGUUCUCUCUAUGCAACCGAGUUCCCAGCAGCUGGAUUAUUGCCAGCUAAACUAGUGCAGUUUAAAAGUAAAACAGAAUUUCUACGCCCACCGGAGUGUGUCAGCUGCACUAAACCCACGUAGGAGCCAGUCCUGGGGAGCAGAGCGGGCCCUUGGCUCCUCACCCUGGCCCGACAGCCCGCACCACCAGCCGGGCCCCACAGCUUCGGGUCACUUUGUGCAUUUUCUGUGCUUAAGGGUUCUUGACUGCACGCAGCAAUCUUGGAUUACAAAGGAGCGCAGGCUACAUCUCAACUGUUUUAAGUGCUGCCAAGAAAAAAGGGGACUUGGGUCAAGCCCAAGCUAGCCAAGCACAGAAUUGCCAAACCAAGGCUUUCAAUAAAUCAGUUCCCAGAAAGUCAUGAGACUGGCAUUAAAAAAAAAAACCAACUGAUGAGGCCUUAAUAAUAGUUCAGGGUUCUCUUUAUUUCCUUUCCAUGCUCUUAUAUUCAGGUUUCUCUUCAAGCCUGGGAAGAGAACUUUUUGCUUGCUUGGUUUUAGAUUUUCAAUUCCUAGCUGAUCACCUGAUUUUGAAACGAUAGAAACGGCGGCUUUGGUUACAAUACAUUAAAAAUUACAAAAUUUAACAGCUCUGAAAAACACCGUUCACAUUCCUGAUGUGAUAUGCAUGCUCCUAGGGUGUCAGAGAGAAGGAUCAUUGUUUCGUAACUGCAGUUACACUGUCGGAGGAGAAGCAUAACUGAUAAGCUUAUUACGACCUGGACUCCCACGGAGUCCCAAAUGUGCAAGUACUUGGUAAGCCUCUGGCUGGUUUUGCAAUCUCUUUUAUAUUUCUAAGAUGUAACAGAUAUGAUCAUUCACACGCAUAAACAUCUGUGGCAGCAAAAUUUUGUCCUUCUCCACAUGUACAUGGAGGCAUCUAAUCUGGCCUCUUGCAGAACUGCCGAUGUAUAGCUCAAGAAGCUGAGCCCCAGUAUUGCUUUAUGCACUCAUUUUUAUUUUCAGUCAUAUCAGUUAUGACUUCCAAUGACCAUGAACAACAGCAACAAAAUUUAUUUGAAAUUAUAGCCUUUGACCAAAGAACAUUUUGACAUACAUGCAUUUUAUUACUUCAGCUUCUUGCCAGUUCUCCACAUUCUGGUUUUUAUUCUAGAAAUCUCUCAGUUUCCUACUUCAGGAUGUAAAAAUCUGAUGAAACCUUUUGCCUCCCUACACUGCUGGUACCAAUAGGCUACCGCUAAAAGUAAAUGCAUUUCCUCCUAGCUGGCUACAAGAAGAUGUAUUUUUCAAAGGCAGUAAAGACCAGGGUGCAGGACCUCAUACAUCACUCACUCCACUUGCUCCUGACGGGACAGCAGGACUUGCAGCAUCUACAGCAAUCAACAUCCUUCCUUAAUGGAGAUUUUCCUUACACUCUGUUGCAUGUGUUCCGACCAAACAACUGUAAAGGCUCCUGGGAAGACAGUAAAAAUGUGUUGCUGAUAACUCAUAACAGCGUUAUCCAGAGAAGUGGGCACCAGUAGGCAACUGGAGUGAAUAUCAGGCUUGCAAUUCAUUGUCAACACGGAUCUUGUGCAGUCAGAAAGUGGCUUUUUUGUUUAAUUGGAGACUAAUUACUGUCUCAGUCAGGAGUUGGGACACUGGUAGUAGUGAAAAAGAUUGCCCCAGCCCAAAUUCAUUAGGAAAGGUGUGGUGGAUUUCAGUCCUCAACUCGUGUCCUCCAGUAAGAACCCCACAACUUCAACUUAAGGGUGUUAUCAUAUGCAUUAAAAUUAGGAAGGAGUCAGACCAAAGAGGAGUCCAUUUCAUGUUAGACCAAAGGCCCCUCAAGCCCAGUAUUUUGUCUCUAGCAGCUGUGAAAGUCGACACCUGGGAAAGAAUGUGAGAAUGGAACAAGCGUCGACUUCCCCAGAACACCUUCCCAUCUUCCAAUGGCCUGCAGAUGAAGGACUUCAGACAUGAGCCGCGCAUGGUGGUUUCGUAUUUCCUAGCCUGCAGUGGAUUUCCCUUUCAUGCCCUUGUACAGUUGUAUUUUGAACACGCUUUAAGAUCCCCUAUUGAUGGAGGCAAAUAUGCACGAUGGCAAUCUGGCUUUAAUUCAGCAAUGACAAAUUCUGCUUUGGUUCGAAAAUUCCACAUUAAACUACUCACAGAUUUUUUCAACUUAUCAUAGGAAGGAGCUGUUGCUAUGAAGUGUUAUGCAUAAUGUGAAGUAGGCAAAUUUCAGAAAUUUGGAAGAGUCUGGGAAGUUUUCCUGUGGAGAAACUCACAUCUUUCAAUUAAAGAGUAUGAAGACUUUGAGACAACUAACUUUAAAAUCCCCUACUCAGAGAUGCAGAUUCUCACACAGAUUUUGCAGUGUCUUAUGUAUGACAGAACCAUGGCUUUGAAGCAAUGAAUUAUUUACAGUUUAGCAGAAUUUCAUGGCAGUAAUUCACCUUCCUGUCAUAAGAUCGACCCACCUCCUUGGCUUUCCUCUCUGAGUGGAUCACACCAGGCUCUGGCUUAUUCCCAGAGCUCCACCUUUUUGAAUGACAAAACUCCAAACAUUACUAUCUGUUUCCCACUGUAUUUCAGGUGAAACCAGCAAAGACAAAGCAAUUGCAGAAAACCCACUCUCCUGCCCCCACUGCACUGCAGUUACCAGAUCCUCACCAAAGUGCCAAAGUUCCCAAAUCUCCCUUUAGCUGCAGAAUUGCUUGGCAGCUACACACGCACUUUGAUGGUACUUAGAUUACCUGCCUUUUACAGAAAGACAAACCACUUUAAUUCCCAAAACAAAAACCAGCCACCCCAUGAGCAUUUUACCUAUCCAUUAAUCCUUCAUCGGCUGAUAUAUUGGCUUUGCGUGGCAAGGCUUUGAUAGCAGGGGGGCUACAGGUGUGGCUUCUGUGAGAACCUGCCAGAAGCUCCCCCCAUGUCCAAU